CUGUGACCAAAAUAAACCACUCAGAACAUGCAUCAACUGUCAAUUUGUGCUUCAAAGCAACUGACUGUUUGACUGUGUUCUUAGUAAAUAAUUACCAAAGAAGUAACAAUCAGCUACACUGAUCAUGGUUCACCCGAGGGCUAACGCUACUACGCUGAUGGCCACUAUUGAAAAUGAAAAAAAAGAAAGAAGAGUAGCGCUUUUCAUAACAGUGAAGCGUGUACGCAUACAGAUAUAGGGUUAUACUUUUGUCGAUGGCGCUCAUCUUUCCGCUAAAACGAUUUGUACAGAAGUGUAAAUGAAUGGAAUCCCAGCACAGAAAUACAUACAAUUUACAACAGGAAUACUAUUGAGUGAACUGUAGCGAACUGGAGCCUACUGGAGAAAUAAGAAUCCAAAUCAGGCGAUAUUGGUGAAACUGUGAAUAAGAAGGGUUGGUCUGUGGUUGUUUUAUCUUGGGUGGGACCCACAGAACCGUUCAAGCAUAAUGACCUCAGUGC